AUGUAGCUUCUUUCGGGGAGUGUUAUAGCCCAGGGUGCAAUGCAGCCUGUUGGGACCGAGGACCGCGCUUCGGCUAGGAUGCUGGCGUAAUGGUUGUAAGCGACCCGUCUUGAAACACGG
rnacentral:rRNA from 1 species